CUUGGAUCUCAUUUAUGUGAAACAUCAAGAAUAAGCAGGGCUGGGGAUUUAGCUCAGUGGUUCUGGCGCCUGCCUUGAAAGUGCAAGGUCCCGAGUUCAAUCCCUGGUACUUAAAAAAAAUUAAAAAAAAAAAGAAUAAGCAAAUAAUGUACCAACAGAAGGCAAGUUAAUGGUUGCCAGAGUAUAGCAGGGAGGGAGAAAUGAAGAAUGAUUGCUUAACAGGUAUGUGAUUUUCUUUUGAUGAAAAUAUUCUGCAACUAGACAAUGGCAUUGAAUGCACAAUGCCGUGAAUGUCCUAUGUGUCACUAAGGCUGAAGAAAAUCUAGGGUUCAUCCUAGAAAAGGAACCACUUCUGAACCAAGCCACCUUGGACAGGGAUACAUUCAAGGUCAGCAUGAUGAAUAGGCAGAGAAAGAGGUCAAACAGCCCUCUCAAGCCAGAAGAGUUGGUCAACGGCCUUGUUCAAAGAGAAUUUCUCCACUUUGGGGGUGCUGAAGGGAGGAGGGAAGAUUUGGAAUGCAACAGAUUUCCCUGUGCUGACAGUCACUGAGCUACAUUCUUCAGAUGUGUUGAGAAAAACUGUGUUGACAAGUCCUGAUUUAAAUAUGUUCAAUCCUAUACUUACUAAAUCUUUUAUAUUGGUACUUAAUUUGUAAAAUCUGUGUGUUCUAACAGUUUCUGACAAGGAAGUGUUGAAACUUCUAAAAACAAUGAUCUUACCUAUUCUGCCCUAGUUCUAUCAGUUAUUGCUUUAUAUAUUUUAAGGCUAACUAGUUAGUUACGUAUAUAUUAAUGUAUAUAUUAAUAUACUAGUUAGUUACGUAUAUAUUAUAUAUUAAUAAACCUUAGUUCUUUUGGAUCUACUGCAUAUUUUGUAAAAUUAUAUGACAUCAUUAUUUUUCCCUUAAUCUGUUUCAGGUGUUGGGGAGGCUAAGAAUUCAAGAUCUAGCUGGGUAUGAUGGUGCAUGCCUGUAAUCCAAGGCCAGCCUGGGCUACCUAGUGAGUUCAAGGGCAACCUGAACUACACAGCGAGACCCUGUCUCAAAAAACAAAAACAAAAAAAUUCAAACUCUAUUGUGCUUAAAAUGAAAUUGUUACUUCAGCUUUUUGGGGGCUCUUAUUAUCUGAUGUGUUUCUCUGUGGCAAAAUAUUCUCAAUCUCUUUAUACCUUUAAAAAUUAUCAAUGUUGUCUCCCCAAAUACGAUAAAUAUUUAGCUCAAUUUCACAUCUCUGUGGUCCAGCUUUCUCUCCCAUCAUAUUGAUAUUGUUUAGUGUUAGCUACAAUACUGCUAUGGAUACACAUUUUGCUUUUCCAACUUUUUGUCAUUGCUUUUUUAGGCAGAAAUAAACUUACUCUAUUUCUCAUAUGCCAUCGCCCCCUCCUUGAAACAAUUAUUCAUUCUCAACAUCAUUAUUUUUAAUACUUUCCCUAUAUGUGUGAGGACAUUUCCAGUGCAUGAUUUGAAUAUUUAUUUUGCUAGUCCUUUAAUUCUGCUUUCUUAGGUGUUAGCCCUUCAGAUUGUUGUCUUUAUAGUACAGUAUUUUCAUUCCACAGAUGUCUCAUUGUUUUUGCCUUGUGAGUUCAUACUCCCCGUAUCUGUGACCACUUAGGAUCAUGUGUACUAAGGACAGGGGUGACAGAUGGAACACUGUCAUCUUCUCUCCAGUCUGGCAGGAAGGGAGCCUCCGCUAAGCUCAACCAGUCCAUGGUAGCUCUUCUCCAAUAAAUUUGGCAACCUCAGUCCUUAGGGAAUCUUCCAGUCAUCUUCUCCAGUCACUGCACCUUUGCUGUGGCCAUGGCCCUAGGUUGUCACUCCUAACUACCAGUGGGGAAGAAGUAAGAUAAUGACCAGGAGAAAAUUGACCCACAGGUACCGGUUAUUUUCAGAGGAUGUCAGUCACAAAGAGCAGAAGACCCCUCCCCAGAUGACCUUCUGUGGAGAAUGCCAUCAUCCCAUCCUUCAUCCAGGGAGGAUGAUGGAGGGAAGAGAAAAUAAGGAGGGGAUGAUGGGGGAGAGUGGUAUUUGGCACUGUCUUGGGAUGCAGAUCAGAGUGGCAAGACCGUGCAAGUUGAUUCCUGGCCCUGGCCUUACUCAUGACCUUAGGCACACUACUUAUCUUCAUCUCACCCCAGUUUGCUCACCUGUCAAAUGGCAUAGUAAUUACCACUUUGCAGACACAUUCAGAGAUUUAAUGAGCUCAUGUAUGCACAACACAUAGGAGAGUGCCUGGCAAACAACAAAUGCUUUGUCAGUAGUUUUUAUGGUCACUAUUAUUAUUUAUAUUAUUAUGCCCACUUCGUUCUCUCAGCAAGUCCCAAACUCUUUCUGUCUCUUCUUUCUGAAUUUCACAUUAGAUACUAGAGUUCAGUGGCCUCUCUUCCAUACUUCUAUUGUGUGAUCAGGUGAGAGAACAAGCAAUACUUAGGUGGCAAGCUCAUAAUCAUCAGAAUCUGAAUUGGUUUUUCUUAAUUAUCUACUUAUUACUUCUUUUGUAGAAAAAUGAAGGUACAACACACAUAUUCCACUGCCCUAUAGACCAAGUCUUUUUAGUUAGCUAUUCAGGUUCCUUUUUUAUCAUCAGAAAAUAAUAUUUUUAUAUAGUGCAGUUUUUCAAUAAAAAUAAUUUAUUCUUUUUUGUGUUGUUAAAUCAGCCUUAUGAAAGUAAAAUUUACAUACAAUGAAACGCACCCAUUUUAAGUGUACAAUUAGAUGACUUUUGACAACUGUGUUCUCCCCUCUAACCUUCAUCAGAAUUAAGAUACAGAGCAUUUUUCUCAUUCCAAAUGAUUUCUUUCUUUUUAAAAAUUUUUAUUAGUACCAAAUGGUUUCUACCUCUUCUAGUUAAUCCCCACCUACCAGCCCACAGCAACCACUAAUCAAUCUGCUUUUCUUUCACUAUAUAUGUUAGAUUUAUCUUCUAGAGAUUCAUAUAAAUGGGAUCUUAUAAUAUGUAGUCUUUUUUGUCUGGCUUCUUUAGCUCAGCAUGCAUUUUUGAGAUUCAUUCAUGUUCUUGCAUGUUGGGUCAUAUUAUAAGGGUAUACUUUCACCAAAUUGUUUUCCAGAGUGGUUGUAGGUUUUUACAUUCAUAUUAGCUAAUCCUUUUUUUUUUGGUACUGGGGAUCGAACUUGGGACCUUGAUCUUGCAAGGCAGGCACCAGAACCACUGAGCUAAAUCCCCAGCCCCCAUUCAUGCUAGCUAUGUAUGACAGUUCCAGACUUCUACAUUCUCUCCAACAAUUGGUAUUGCCCUUCCUCUUAUUUUAGCCAUUUUAGAGAGCGUG
ensembl:lncRNA